rnacentral:rRNA from 1 species
GACUCCUACGGGAGGCAGCAGUGGGGAAUAUUGCACAAUGGGCGCAAGCCUGAUGCAGCCAUGCCGCGUGUAUGAAGAAGGCCUUCGGGUUGUAAAGUACUUUCAGCGGGGAGGAAGGUGUUGAGGUUAAUAACCUCAGCAAUUGACGUUACCCGCAGAAGAAGCACCGGCUAACUCCGUGCCAGCAGCCGCGGUAAUACGGAGGGUGCAAGCGUUAAUCGGAAUUACUGGGCGUAAAGCGCACGCAGGCGGUCUGUCAAGUCGGAUGUGAAAUCCCCGGGCUCAACCUGGGAACUGCAUUCGAAACUGGCAGGCUAGAGUCUUGUAGAGGGGGGUAGAAUUCCAGGUGUAGCGGUGAAAUGCGUAGAGAUCUGGAGGAAUACCGGUGGCGAAGGCGGCCCCCGGACAAAGACUACGCUCAGGGGAA